CAACAGGGAUUCCUUAUAACGGCGAGUGAAGCGGCAAUAGCUCAAAUUUGAAAUCUGGCUUCCUUGGAAGUCCGAGUUGUAANUUGCAGAGGGCGCUUUGGCGUCGGUAGCGGUCUAAGUUCCUUGGAACAGGACGUCACAGAGGGUGAGAAUCCCGUACGUGGUCGACUACCUUCGCCGUGUAAAGCCCCUUCGACGAGUCGAGUUGUUUGGGAAUGCAGCUCUAAAUGGGAGGUAAAUUUCUUCUAAAGCUAAAUACUGGCCAGAGACCGAUAGCGCACAAGUAGAGUGAUCGAAAGAUGAAAAGCACUUUGGAAAGAGAGUCAAACAGCACGUGAAAUUGUUGAAAGGGAAGCGCUUGCCGCCAGACGUGCCCGUGGUGGUUCUCCUCCGCGGGCAGGCCAGCAUCAGUUUGGGCGAUCGGAUAAAGGCCUCUGUCAUGUAUCUCCCUUCGGGGUGACCUUAUAGGGGAGGCGCAAUGCGAUCAGCCCGGACUGAGGUCCGCGCAUCUGCUAGGAUGCUGGCGUAAUGGCUGUAAGCGGCCCGUCUUGAAACACGGACCAAGGAGUCUAACAUCUAUGCGAGUGUUUGGGUGUCAAGCCCGAGCGCGUAAUGAAAGUGAACGGAGGUGGGAACCCUUUGGGUGCACCAUCGACCGAUCCUGAAGUCUUCGGAUGGAUUUGAGUAARAGCAUGGCUGUUGGGACCCGAAAGAUGGUGAACUAUGCUUGAAUAGGGUGAAGCCAGAGGAAACUCUGGUGGAG
rnacentral:rRNA from 1 species